rnacentral:rRNA from 1 species
UGGGGAAUAUUGGACAAUGGGCGCAAGCCUGAUCCAGCCAUGCCGCGUGAGUGAUGAAGGCCCUAGGGUUGUAAAGCUCUUUCACCGGUGAAGAUAAUGACGGUAACCGGAGAAGAAGCCCCGGCUAACUUCGUGCCAGCAGCCGCGGUAAUACGAAGGGGGCUAGCGUUGUUCGGAUUUACUGGGCGUAAAGCGCACGUAGGCGGACUAUUAAGUCAGGGGUGAAAUCCCGGGGCUCAACCCCGGAACUGCCUUUGAUACUGGUAGUCUUGAGUUCGAGAGAGGUGAGUGGAAUUCCGAGUGUAGAGGUGAAAUUCGUAGAUAUUCGGAGGAACACCAGUGGCGAAGGCGGCUCACUGGCUCGAUACUGACGCUGGGGUGCGAAGGCGGGGGGAGCAAACAGG